rnacentral:rRNA from 1 species
GCCUGAGACCUGAUGCCGAGCCGAUUGUGGUGAAGUGGAUGAUCCUAUGCUGUCGAGAAAAGCCUCUAGCGAGUUUCAUGGCGGCCCGUACCCCAAACCGACUCAGGUGGUCAGGUAGAGAAUACCGAGGCGUUCGGGUGAACUAUGGUUAAGGAACUCGGCAAAAUGCCCCCGUAACUUCGGGAGAAGGGGGGCCAUUCCUGGUGACGGCACUUGCUGCCAGAGCUGGGGGUGGCCGCAGAGACCAGCGAGAAGCGACUGUUUACUAAAAACACAGGUCCGUGCGAAGCCGUAAGGCGAUGUAUACGGACUGACGCCUGCCCGGUGCUGGAACGUUAAGGGGACCGGUUAGCUCUGAUUCGUCGGGGCGAAGCUGAGAACUUAAGCGCCAGUAAACGGCGGUGGUAACUAUAACCAUCCUAAGGUAGCGAAAUUCCUUGUCGGGUAAGUUCCGACCUGCACGAAUGGCGUAACGACUUCUCGACUGUCUCAACCAUAGGCCCGGUGAAAUUGCAUUACGAGUAAAGAUGCUCGUUUCGCGCAGCAGGACGGAAAGACCCCGGGACCUUUACUAUAGCUUGAUAUUGGUGUUCGGUUCGGCUUGUGUAGGAUAGGUGGGAGACUUUGAAGCCGUGACGCCAGUCAUGGUGGAGUCGUCGUUGAAAUACCACUCUGGUCGUGCUGGAUGUCUAACCUGGGUCCGUGAUCCGGAUCAGGGACAGUGUCUGGUGGGUAGUUUAACUGGGGCGGUUGCCUCCUAAAGAGUAACGGAGGCGCCCAAAGGUUCCCUCAGCCUGGUUGGCAAUCAGGUGUUGAGUGUAAGUGCACAAGGGAGCUUGACUGUGAGACUGACGGGUCGAGCAGGGACGAAAGUCGGGACUAGUGAUCCGGCGGUGGCUUGUGGAAGCGCCGUCGCUCAACGGAUAAAAGGUACCCCGGGGAUAACAGGCUGAUCUUCCCCAAGAGUCCAUAUCGACGGGAUGGUUUGGCACCUCGAUGUCGGCUCGUCGCAUCCUGGGGCUGGAGUAGGUCCCAAGGGUUGGGCUGUUCGCCCAUUAAAGCGGUACGCGAGCUGGGUUUAGAACGUCGUGAGACAGUUCGGUCCCUAUCCGCUGUGCGCGUAGGAGUGUUGAGAAGGGCUGUCCCUAGUACGAGAGGACCGGGACGGACGAACCUCUGGUGUGCCAGUUGUCCUGCCAAGGGCAUGGCUGGUUGGCUACGUUCGGGAGGGAUAACCGCUGAAAGCAUCUAAGCGGGAAGCCUGCUUCGAGAUGAGCACUCCCACCUCCUUGAGAGGGUAAGGCUCCCAGUAGACGACUGGGUUGAUAGGCCGGAUAUGGAAGCCCUGUGAGGGGUGGAGUUGACCGGUACUAAUAGGCCGAGGGCUUGUCCUCAGUUG